rnacentral:rRNA from 1 species
UACAGAGGUCUCAAGCGUUGUUCGGAUUCAUUGGGCGUAAAGGGUGCGUAGGUGGCGCGGUAAGUCGGGUGUGAAAUUUCGGAGCUUAACUCCGAAACUGCAUUUGAUACUGCCGUGCUUGAGGACUGGAGAGGAGACUGGAAUUUACGGUGUAGCAGUGAAAUGCGUAGAGAUCGUAAGGAAGACCAGUGGCGAAGGCGGGUCUCUGGACAGUUCCUGACACUGAGGCACGAAGGCCAGGGGAGCAAACGGG